rnacentral:rRNA from 1 species
UACGUAGGGUGCAAGCGUUGUCCGGAAUUAUUGGGCGUAAAGAGCUCGUAGGCGGUCUGUCGCGUCUGCUGUGAAAACCCGAAGCUCAACUUCGGGCCUGCAUCCGAAACUGCCCGACUAGAGGUAGGUAGGGGAGAUCGGAAUUCCUGGUGUAGCGGUGAAAUGCGCAGAUAUCAGGAGGAACACCGGUGGCGAAGGCGGAUCUCUGGGCCUUACCUGACGCUCAGGUGCGAAAGCUAGGGGAGCGAACAGG